ensembl:lncRNA
CAAUCAGCGCAAGCCUUUCCUACUUGAUACUUGAGAAGAAGAUCAGACGCAACAGACAUUAAUUCAUCCUUAUUGGGAUCUCAUUGCCCUUACGCAAUCUCAGCUCGACAUCAUAUGCAAAUGUAGGGAUUGGGAAUGGAUUGGGCCACUGAGUUGUACGCCUCAAAGGGGUCUGGGGAGAAUCUGUACUGCCCUGGACAGAACUUGUGGAGGGAGAAGGGUGGGACUCGGACCAGCUCCCCUGCAUGGAACCAGUAGGGCUCUUCUGCGCUUCAUUACAGUCCUCAGAGUAAAAGGCUGGCUGUGUCAAGGGAGGACACUGAGCCAAUGGAAUGGCUAUCAGAUAGGUUGGGGGGAGAUGCAUCAGUGUUCCACACAAUGUGCAAGACUGCACGCCCUUCUGGCAACUCUGACAUUUCAGUCAACUGACAUAAAGCAUUGGCAAAAUCGGGGUCCUCGUACUGGAGUAUGAAAUCACCUUCAAGCUGGAGUCUGCAUGUGUAAAAUAUCACCACAACUGCAAUGGUAAUGCUAAAUUCAAAUAACAGUGAAACGCAUUUAAAUUGAAAUGACAGUGACUCAUCAACAUACCAUUUUUGAUGGUUUAGUUGAGGAUGAAUGUCCUUGUGGUCACAUUCAGUUUCCCACCAACUUUGUAUGCUUCUAGAGGGUGAUAGUCUGUCAACAGAUUUGCAUCCAAGGCAACAGUUUCAGAGAGGUGGCCUUCAACAAGUUUGUAAGAUCGUGAAUGUUCAAUGUACCUUGAAACAAGUGUUCGGCAAAUAAAUGUCACUUCCUGUGCAUUUAUCAGAAUUAUUACAAUCUUGUGAAAUUUUAGAAGGUCAUUGCACUGCCCGGAAGAUAAAAUCAUGCCCUCUGCAUACUGUGUGCCAUGUAGCUGAACAGAUUUAGAAAGACUCGCUCUCUCAAGAUGGGGACACUUCCUCUCAAUUACACACCUCAGUUCACUUUUUCGACAAUGAGCUUUGCCUUAAAAAAAGGUUAGGACUAUCCAGGUGGUAGGGCAACAAUUGCUGGUGUUUCAAAGAGAGAGUAAGCAGAACAUUUUUCCAGUUGUUAGUGUCAUGAACAACUUAAAAAAAAAAAGAAGCUGUGUUUGGCCUCAUAUCGCAUUGUCCAUAAUUCCACCAAAGGGCCAUAACAGCGAAUUAGAUGUGGGUAAUGGUCAAUAAAAUGGUUCUUUGGUUUAAGUUUGUACUCUGGAAAUGUAUCAGUAAGCAAUUGACGGUGGUGCUGCAGUUUAGAAGACAGAUGGCACAGAGCUGCCUCUGAGAGCUUGUGUGAAACAACUAUGUCAACGAUGUCCUUGAGGUCCAUUA